AGAUUUGGUCGUAGAACGCGACCAAGUAAAACAAAAGAAACGUUCACUGAGA
rnacentral:sRNA from 1 species